AGCGUAUCGAUGCACAUAUAUUCCCCUGUAAUUUUUCUGUAGUGAAUAGGAACAUGUCAUUGUAAGUACAUCUAAACAGAACUGUACCAAAGCACAGAUGUUGUGAGGCCUUUUGUCAGGGAAGAAGGCUGAGAUCACUUGCUAAGCUUCAGUAACCCACCACAGCAGAAAACAAAACUGAAGUUUGGUACGACCUACAAAUCCAAACAACUCGCUAUUGUAUAAACAUACUACUGUAAUACAGUAUUAAGAACAUCAAUGUAAGAAAUAGGAUCUACUUUGCCAUUUGGUGACAGCAUAGCUAAAUUUCUAAAAAAGGUUAUUGAGCUCAGUCUUGGGUAUGUUGUAUAAUUUCUCAGUUUCGUAAUAGGUUAUUUUAGAACUUGGAUUCUAAAGUGAAGAAAGAAUAGAUUUUAAUUUGCAGUUUUGUGAAGGUGAGACUUACUUUGUUUUCAAAGGACUGAAAGUCAUUUUGAAUAGUGAGUUAAAGUGUAUUUCCAAAAUGUCAUGUGAUCCUAGUAAAAUGGUUAGCAAGUCAACCAGGGGAGAUAAUACUAAGGUGUUGUUGCCUUGAGUUGACUCCAGAAGUUAGGUGUUUGUCUUAUGAAGAGAUUGAACAGUUUGGACUGUAUUCUCUGGAAUUUAGAAGAAUGAGAGCAAAUCUAACUGAGGUAUAUAAGAUGCUAAAUGAGAUUGACAAAGUAGAUAUAGAGAGAAUGCUUCCUCAUGCAGGGCAAUCUAAAUGAGAUGCCCUUGUUUUAGGAUAAGGGAUAGCAGAUUUCAAAUAAAUGAGGAUUUUUUUUCUCUAAGCGUUAUGAAACUAUGGAAUUCAUUACCCCAGAGUACAGUGAAUGUCAGGACUGAAACUGAGUAAACUUAAGGAGACAAUAGAUUUUUAAUUAGGAAUGGGUCGAAGAGUUAUGGAAAGUGGGCAGAAAAAUGGAGUCCAGGCCAUGAUCAGACCAGCCAUGAAUGGCAGAACAGGCUCAAAGGGCUGAAUUACUUAAUCCUGCUCUUAGUGCUGGUGUUCUUCAGAGUUGUAAAACCCAGAGACAGUGAAUCUGCCAGAAACUGGUACAUUGAGAGAUGAAAUCCAUAAAAGCAGAGGUGCUGUUAGUUGCAUCUAAAAACAAUCUGGAUAGGACAGAAGUCCUAAGCUGAUUAAAAAUCUCCAGAAGCGGAAAGCUAUACAAGUAUCAUGAAUAAGAUAUCCUGCAAGGUCGUUAAAGACAUGAAUUUAAGGAGUCCAUGUUACGUAGUAAUAGAGAGCUGCGUUAUCAUCUUGUUUAAAAGUUUUAGGGAGAGGCAUUAAUUGAAUAAACUAAUGAGUGAAUGAACAGAAAUAUACCAAAAAGGAAGCCAAUUAUAGAUGUGCCAGCUGAUCAAGAAGGAGAUAGGAGUCACUCUUUACUGAGAUUUGAGUGUCUACAUUUUUUUUUGCUGAAAUCAGAGGGCUUAAUCUCUUUAUGAAUUUGCAAUGCGUUUUUAUUGUGUAAUAAUUUGUAUCUGUUUUUCUUUUGUAUAAUGUACUUCCAUUUACUUUUGUAAAAAGAUAGAUUAGCCGCCUUUUGUAAAUUUGUUCAGCGACUGAAUUUAAUGUUAAAGAAAAAUAAAAAGUUAAAUUUAUUAU